GCCCAGGUGGCGGAAUUGGUAGACGUGCUACUUUGAGGGGGUAGUGAUCUUUUGAUCGUGCAGGUUCAAAUCCUGUUCUGGGUA
rnacentral:tRNA from 1 species